UGGGGAAUAUUGGACAAUGGACCGAGAGUCUGAUCCAGAAAUUCUGUGUGCACGAUGACGUUUUUCGGAAUGUAAAGUGCUUUCAGUUGGGAAGAAAGAAAUGACGGUACCAACAGAAGAAGUGACGGCUAAAGACGGGCCAGCAGACGCGGUAAUACGGAUGGCACGAGCGUUAUCCGGAUUUAUUGGGCGUAAAGCGCGUCUAGGUGGUUAUGUAAGUCUGAUGUGAAAAUGCAGGGCUCAACUCUGUAUUGCGUUGGAAACUGUAUAACUAGAGUACUGGAGAGGUAAGCGGAACUACAAGUGUAGAGGUGAAAUUCGUAGAUAUUUGUAGGAAUGCCGAUGGGGAAGCCAGCUUACUGGACAGAUACUGACGCUAAAGCGCGAAAGCGUGGGUAGCAAACAGG
rnacentral:rRNA from 1 species